rnacentral:rRNA from 1 species
CGUACACUCCUACGGGAGGCAGCAGUGGGGAAUAUUGCACAAUGGGCGCAAGCCUGAUGCAGCCAUGCCGCGUGUAUGAAGAAGGCCUUCGGGUUGUAAAGUACUUUCAGCGGGGAGGAAGGCGAUAAGGUUAAUAACCUUGUCGAUUGACGUUACCCGCAGAAGAAGCACCGGCUAACUCCGUGCCAGCAGCCGCGGUAAUACGGAGGGUGCAAGCGUUAAUCGGAAUUACUGGGCGUAAAGCGCACGCAGGCGGUCUGUCAAGUCGGAUGUGAAAUCCCCGGGCUCAACCUGGGAACUGCAUUCGAAACUGGCAGGCUAGAGUCUUGUAGAGGGGGGUAGAAUUCCAGGUGUAGCGGUGAAAUGCGUAGAGAUCUGGAGGAAUACCGGUGGCGAAGGCGGCCCCCUGGACAAAGACUGACGCUCAGGUGCGAAAGCGUGGGGAGCAAACAGGAUUAGAAACCCGAGUAGUCCCAUGAU